GACGAACGCUGGCGGCGUGCUUAACACAUGCAAGUCGAGCGAGCGGCGGACGGGUGAGAAAUGUGUGGGAAACUGCCUGCUGGAGGGGGAUAACUACUGGAAACGGUAGCUAAUACCGCAUACCAUCAGAAGUGCCCCGAGGGGAUUAGCUGGUAGGUGGGGUAACGGCGCACCUAGGCGACGAUCCCUAGCUGGUCUGAGAGGAUGACCAGCCACACUGGAACUGAGACACGGUCCAGACUCCUAGGGGAGGCAGCAGUGGGGAAUAUUGCACAAUGGGCGCAAUCCUGAUGCAGCCAUGCCGGGUGUGUGAAGAAGGCCUUCGGGUUGUAAAGCACUUUCAGCGGGGAGGCGUUACCCGCAGAAGAAGCACCGGCUAACUCCGUGCCAGCCGCCGCGGUAAUAC
rnacentral:rRNA from 1 species